CCAGGUGAACAAAUGGGUACAUGUCUAAACUGUAUUUUGUAAACCCUGUUUUGCUUUGUUUCGCCAACUGGUUGCAAUUCUUGUUUUUGCCAGCAUGUGGUGCUGCUUUACAGAGAGGUCAAAAGAUUUCAGGAAGUAGAAAAAACCUCUUGUGUAUAUAUCGUGGAAAUCUGAGCAAAGCGGAAGAGAAGGACAUUUUUGUGUGCCGAGACCUGGUGAAAAGGAUGCCACCAAGCCGAGAAUCCAAGUAUUCGAAGUGCCACUGCCGUUUAAUGCACUCUUUGUAAUAGUUUAGCUUUGUAUGUGAAGCUACGUUGCUACAUGUGAGCCCGCCAUUUUCAACGAAGCUGAGGCUUUAUGUUGACAGAAUACGGGUCAUUUACGUUUGUUUCUUUGCAACCCAGAAAGAGAGAAAAGUGUUCUUUUUUCAUUAAAAAAAAACAAUAAAGGACCCAUUUUAUUUGAA